CCUACGGGAGGCAGCAGUAGGGAAUAUUGCUCAAUGGGGGAAACCCUGAAGCAGCAACGCCGCGUGGAGGAUGAAGGUUUUCGGAUUGUACACUCCUUUUGUUAGAGAAGAUAAUGACGGUAUCUAACGAAUAAGCACCGGCUAACUCCGUGCCAGCAGCCGCGGUAAUACGGAGGGUGCAAGCGUUACUCGGAAUCAUGGGCCGUAAAGAGCGCGGAGGCGGGAUGGCAAGUCAGAGGUAAAAUCCUAUGGCUUAACCAUGGAACGGCAUUUGAAACUGUAAUUCAAGAGUAUGGGAGAGUUAGUUGAAAUUUUGGGUGUAGGGGUAAAUUCGGAGGGAAUCAGGGGAA
rnacentral:rRNA from 1 species